ensembl:Y_RNA Y_RNA Y RNA
AGCUGGUCUGAAGGUAGUGAAUUAUUUCAAUUGAUUGUUCACAAUCAGUUACAGAUGGAACUUCUUUUUCUACUCUCGUCCCCUUCUCACUACUGCACCUGACUAGUCUUUU